rnacentral:lncRNA from 1 species
UGUUACCUCAUCAUGGUGGCGCGUGGUCCUGUGCAUAUAUCUCAGGUCACAAAUCUGUUGAAGAAAAGCAACGUUGAGCUCGGAGAGUCCUUGGAUGGGUGACCGUUCUUGGCAGCUAGACCCCUGAGAGUUUCUAGGACAUCAGUCCUG